rnacentral:tRNA from 1 species
GCGCCCGUAGCCUAAAGGAUAGGCAUCAGUCUUCUAAACUGAUCUUAUGAAGGUUCGAGUCCUUUCGGGCGUGCGA